CAGUAGCCGCGGUAAUACGUAGGGUGCAAGCGUUAAUCGGAAUUACUGGGCGUAAAGCGCACGCAGGCGGUUUGUUAAGUCAGAUGUGAAAUCCCCGAGCUUAACUUGGGAACUGCAUUUGAAACUGGCAAGCUAGAGUCUUGUAGAGGGGGGUAGAAUUCCAGGUGUAGCGGUGAAAUGCGUAGAGAUCUGGAGGAACAUCAGUGGCGAAGGCGGCCAUCUGGGACAACACUGACGCUGAGGCACGAAAGCGUGGGGAGCAAACAGGAUUAGAUACCCGAGUAGUCCCUGUCUCUUAUAA
rnacentral:rRNA from 1 species